rnacentral:rRNA from 1 species
UCUGUGAUGCCCUUARAUGUUUUGGSCCSCACGCGCGUUNCACUGCAGAACCCAANNAGUUAUUUCCUUGUCCGGAAGGUCUGGGUAAUCUUGUGAAACUUUGUCGUGCUGGGGAUAGAGCAUGCAAUUAUUGCUCUCAACGAGGAAUUCCUAGUAAGCGGAGUCAUCAGG